GCGGCGUGCUUUAACACAUGCAAGUCGAGCGGUAAGGCCUUUCGGGGUACACGAGCGGCGAACGGGUGAGUAACACGUGGGUGAUCUGCCCUGCACUUCGGGAUAAGCCUGGGAAACUGGGUCUAAUACUGGAUAUGACCUCCUAUCGCAUGGUGGGUGGUGGAAAGAUUUAUCGGUGCAGGAUGGGCCCGCGGCCUAUCAGCUUGUUGGUGGGGUAAUGGCCUACCACGGCGACGACGGGUAGCCGACCUGAGAGGGUGACCGGCCACAUUGGGAUUGAGACACGGCCCAGACUCCUACGGGAGGCAGCAGUGGGGAAUAUUGCACAAUGGGCGAAAGCCUGAUGCAGCGACGCCGCUUGAGGGAUGACGGCCUUCGGGUUGUAAACCUCUUUCAGCAGGGACGAAGCGCAAGUGACGGUACCUGCAGAAGAAGCACCGGCUAACUACUUGCCAGCAGCCGCGGUAAUAAUUAGGGUGCAAGCGUCGUCCGGAAUUACUGGGCGUAAAGAGUUCGUAGGCGGUUUGUCGCGUCGUUUGUGAAAACCAGCAGGUCAACUGCUGGCUAGCAGGCGAUACGGGCAGACUUGAGUACUGCAGGGGAGACUGGAAUUCCUGGUGUAGCG
rnacentral:rRNA from 1 species